rnacentral:rRNA from 1 species
UAGGGAAUCUUCCGCAAUGGGCGAAAGCCUGACGGAGCAACGCCGCGUGAGUGAUGAAGGUCUUCGGAUCGUAAAACUCUGUUAUUAGGGAAGAACAAAUGUGUAAGUAACUAUGCACGUCUUGACGGUACCUAAUCAGAAAGCCACGGCUAACUACGUGCCAGCAGCCGCGGUAAUACGUAGGUGGCAAGCGUUAUCCGGAAUUAUUGGGCGUAAAGCGCGCGUAGGCGGUUUUUUAAGUCUGAUGUGAAAGCCCACGGCUCAACCGUGGAGGGUCAUUGGAAACUGGAAAGCUUGAGUGCAGAAGAGGAAAGUGGAAUUCCAUGUGUAGCGGUGAAAUGCGCAGAGAUAUGGAGGAACACCAGUGGCGAAGGCGACUUUCUGGUCUGUAACUGACGCUGAUGUGCGAAAGCGUGGGGAUCAAACAG